rnacentral:rRNA from 1 species
CCGGCACGGGUGAGUAACACGUAUCCAACCUGCCGUCUACUCUUGGCCAGCCUUCUGAAAGGAAGAUUAAUCCAGGAUGGCAUCAUGAGUUCACAUGUCCGCAUGAUUAAAGGUAUUUUCCGGUAGACGAUGGGGAUGCGUUCCAUUAGAUAGUAGGCGGGGUAACGGCCCACCAGUCAACGAUGGAUAGGGGUUCUGAGAGGAAGGUCCCCCACAUUGGAACUGAGACACGGUCCAA